AUUUAUAUAGUUUAAAAUAAAACAUUACAUUUUCACUGUAAAAAUAAAGAAAAUCUUUUAUAAUUA
rnacentral:tRNA from 1 species